rnacentral:lncRNA from 1 species
UAGUGUUGUUCCGAUGAUCGGAAUAAGUCGGAAAUCAGUUGGUUGGGACUGGCGAUGUCGAUAAUCGAUUGGGAUUUUGUUCAAUCGAUUGUCGUUAAAGUUUCCGGACUUUGAGCUUGUCAACUUCCGGUCCGUCUACUGUUUGCAUUUCAUAUGCGCAGUCAAACAAUAUUAACAAAAUAUCAGUCGAUGACAGUAACAAUGUCAAACAUCUUAUAAUUAAAGAAUUAACUAAUUUCCUUCUUUAUAAACGUGACAAAAAGCAUUUGCAGAUUGAUGGAAUGUUAUUUAAGAUUAAUAACUUUGUAUGAAAUACUUUCUUCAAUAAUACCGGUACUUGUUACUUGAGAGCGUACAAAUAAUUCUGAUUUUAGACAAAAUAAUUCCGUUGCUUCAUUAAAACGUGUUGCAAGUUGCCUUUUAUUAAUGUGUUAUCCAUUUGUAGCAUCAAAAAACGUCAUAUUCCUUUCCAGAUUGCUUGCCAAACAUCGUUUACUAUUGUACAUUUUCCGAAAUUUGUCCGCCAUUUAUAUAAAUAUAAGAAUCACGAAUCGGAUACGGUUCAACUAUGUAAAAAUUCCGCAUUCUUGCAAUUAUAAGUUCAGAUGCACGAAUGACACAAUUGAAAGAAAAUAAUGAUUACAAAAGUUAUAAAAGCGUUCUACAAG